rnacentral:Y_RNA from 1 species
GGCUGGUCCAAAGGUAGUGAGUUAUCUCAUUUGAUUGUUGACAGUCACAGAUUGAACUCCUUGUUUUACUACUUAACCCCCCUCCUCACUACUGCACUUGACUAGUCUUAA